GAAACUGCGAAUGGCUCAUUUAAACAGUUAUAGUUUAUUUGAUAAUCGAAUUUACAUGGAUAACCGUGGUAAUUCUAGAGCUAAUACAUGCUGGUUAGCCUGACUUUUGCGGAAGGGCUGUAUUUAUUAGAUAACAAACCAAUAUUCCUUGUGUCUAUUGUGAUGACUCAUAAUAACUGAUCGAAUCGCAUGGGCUUUGCCCGCGAUACAUCAUUCAAGUUUCUGCCCCAUCAGCUUUCGAUGGUAGUGUAUUGGACUACCAUGGCGUUCACGGGUAACGGAGGAUUAGGGUUCGAUUCCGGAGAGGGAGCCUGAGAAACGGCUACCACAUCUAAGGAAGGCAGCAGGCGCGUAAAUUACCCAAUCCUGACUCAGGGAGGUAGUGACAAGAAAUAACGGACCGAAGCCUAUGUAUCGGGAUUGCAAUGAGUAGAAUUUAAACCCCUUUACGAGGAUCAAUUGGAGGGCAAGUCUGGUGCCAGCAGCCGCGGUAAUUCCAGCUCCAAUAGCGUAUAUGAAAGUUGUUGCAGUUAANAAGCUCGUAGUUGGAUUUCUGGGAAGGGUGCCAAUGUCCGCUCGUUGCGUGUGCAGCGGCGCCCUUACAUCCUUUCUGUAACGUAUCUGAUAUUCAUUUAUUGGUCUCGGGCUCAAAUAUUUACCUUGAAAAAAUAAAAUUGUCCCAGGCAGCUU
rnacentral:rRNA from 1 species